rnacentral:lncRNA from 1 species
GGAUGUGGAGUUCUGACUCCACAUAGUUCUCACCUGGCAAUAAAAUGAAUAUAUUUGGUCAAGCAUUGAAGAGUUGUUUACUCAGUGUGAAGCAGUGCUUCUUACUGUUAGACAAUGUUCAAGACCAAUUAAACAAACAAACAACAACAGCAACAUCAAAACAGUGAAGUCUCUUUACUUACUGGACCUUCAGAUAUAACUUGCUAAUCCAAUUUUGUAAUAUUUCUGAAUUAACAUCAAUGUGGGCUCUAAUCCUAUGGCAUGGUACGAACGGGUCAUCAAGUGCAGCAGUAGAUAGAAGGAGUUUCUGUCCUCCCUGCACUGCAGUGAUGGAUACUGUAUCACAGUAUUUUGAAGGCCAUAUAGUCUACUCCUGCAACUGAGGAAGCACAAGGGUAUGCUUCCCUUCUAGGAAGACUGAAUGUGGAUAGGACUAAUUCAGGACAACCCAGCAAAGAUAUUGGAAUAUUGUAUCUGUUCCAAGAAAGAUAAAAUAAAUAGUCAUUAUUAAAAACACUACCAGCAACUAAGAAAAUGGCAAAUGGAAUCAUAAUUUCUCCUUUCAGAAGAAACAAAAUUUGUUUUACAAAGAUGAGAAAAAUCUAAAAUUUUCAAAAGAAGAAGGGCAUUGGGGGCAUCUAUAUCACAAGAAAUCUGGAAACCAAAAAUGUAACAAGGUCCUGCUCCUAUGACAUGUCAGGCAGAUUCAGACCACCAGUCUCCAGGGCUGCUGACUGGAGCUGGAGCUUCAGCAGUUCUCAGAGUGGGCUGUCCUGUGGUAGGUUUCUGAAAAGCAUGAACGUCCUGGCUAACAAGCUCCAGCACUCCUCAGUAUCUCAUGUGGCAAGCUGUUACAGAAGCCAGGAAUGCUGGAGAGCAAGGUGUGUUUCAGAAACAUGGACAUACUCCUGAAGCUGGACCAUCUGAGACACAUACAACCUGAGAAUCAAGGAAGGGACUGAAAUGGACUGUCUUAGGCCUCCUAAUAUUAUUACAGCUCUAAGGACAAGAGGCACACAUUUAGCUACCCAUUGAAUCAACGGAAAGCAGUAGGCCUCUUCACUUCAUUUUACAGAUGUUUGGUUAAAUGCCUUAUGUAAUUGAAGUAGAGAGUGUGAAUACUGCUUCUGAUAAGAAUACAGCUAUAUAGUCCCAAGCAAUAUAUACUGGAGUGAUUAUGGAAGAUAAGAGGACUCAAUGGAACCAUAUCAGCAUUCAAAAGAUGGUGUCUAAAAGUCCCCAGAAACAUUCACCAUUCUGUAAAAACAGCUGAUUUGGAAAGACCCUAUUUGUAUCCUUUAAUUACAUUUCCCACGUUCUGCAGUAAAUGCCAUUCCUUUGAGAGAGGAACCUUCAAGCCUGUGUCACUGGGAUCAAACAUUCAAGAAAUGUGAUGGGGGGAAGCACAGGCAUCAGCAGAUGGCAGCUUGCUUAACCCAAGCACCAGAUGAAAAGCAAAUGUAUUAAAAGCUCUGACGUCAAAAGACAGGCAUCUUUCCAAGAGAAAUUCUGUCAGAACUUCAUAUAAAUCAAAAGACAGAUUGUGAAGCUUUUUAUUGGCAAUAGCACUUGUUCAUGAAGUAAGAUAAAUGAGUAGGGAGCAGAAAGGUAAGCCAAAAGGCAUCUUCAUUUUGCAGACCUUGCCUUGCAGCUCUGGAAUUUCCUGAACUGACAAUUGUUAAGAAAAGCCAGCGAUGCUGUAUUCACAUUCACAAUUAACUGCUAAGAAAAGAAAAUUGCAAUCACAAGAUUUGCUUGCUAAGUAGAUAUUUAAUUUGAAUUUGAAACAAAAAGGUACUUUUUAGCCUGCUUUGCACAUCUCUUACUGUGGUUAGAGCCAGAACCUUAAUGCCAAGUAAAUUUAAAGCUGCUCUAAACUACUUAUGCAUUUGGAUGUCUUUCUCUGAGUAUU